rnacentral:tRNA from 1 species
GUGGGUAUAGCUCAGUGGUAGAGUUCAUGCUUAGCACAAGGUCCUAGGUUCAAUCCCCAGUACCUCCA